rnacentral:rRNA from 1 species
UGGGGAAUAUUGCACAAUGGGCGCAAGCCUGAUGCAGCCAUGCCGCGUGUGUGAAGAAGGUCUUCGGAUUGUAAAGCACUUUAAGUUGGGAGGAAGGGCAUUAACCUAAUACGUUAGUGUUUUGACGUUACCGACAGAAUAAGCACCGGCUAACUCUGUGCCAGCAGCCGCGGUAAUACAGAGGGUGCAAGCGUUAAUCGGAAUUACUGGGCGUAAAGCGCGCGUAGGUGGUCUGUUAAGUUGGAUGUGAAAGCCCCGGGCUCAACCUGGGAACUGCAUCCAAAACUGGCAAGCUAGAGUACGGUAGAGGGUGGUGGAAUUUCCUGUGUAGCGGUGAAAUGCGUAGAUAUAGGAAGGAACACCAGUGGCGAAGGCGACCACCUGGACUGAUACUGACACUGAGGUGCGAAAGCGUGGGGAGCAAACA